CAACACAAUACGGUGUUUUAUGCGGCACACCAGCCGCGUAGUAGGCUAGAACCUACAGACUUAUCUUUAAGAAACAAACAAAAUG
rnacentral:ncRNA from 1 species